rnacentral:misc_RNA from 1 species
AACUUUCAGCAACGGAUCUCUUGGUUCUGGCAUCGAUGAAGAAAGCAGCGAAAUGCGAUAAGUAAUGUGAAUUGCAGAAUUCAGUGAAUCAUCGAAUCUUUGAACGCACAUUGCGCCCCUUGGUAUUCCGAGGGGCAUGCCUGUUCGAGCGUCACUUAUACCAACUCCUCUUAUAGAGGGUCUUGGACUUCGCCUCUAGGCGGGUCUCAAAAUCAGUGGCGGUGCCAUGAGGCUCUACGCGUAGUAAUACACCCCGCGAUAGAACCCUUAGGGUAUCUUGCCAGCAACCCCCAACUUCUUAGGUUGACCUCGGAUCAGGUAGGGAUACCCGCUGAACUUAAGCAUAUCAAUAAGCGGAGGCU